AGCAGCCGCGGUAAUUCCAGCUCCAAUAGCGUAUAUUAAAGUUGUUGCAGUUAAAAAGCUCGUAGUUGAAUUUCGGGAUCAGUUGGUCGGUCGUGCCUCGGUACGUACUGGUCAAAUUGAUUCCUACCUUCUGACGAACCACGAUGUCAUUAAUUUGGUGUCGCGGGAAAUCAGGACUGUUACUUUGAAAAAUUAGAGUGUUUAAAGCAGGCUCGCGCUUGAAUACAUUAGCAUGGAAUAAUGAAAUAGGACGUUUGAUUCUAUUUUGUUGGUUUCUAGGAUCGACGUAAUGAUUAAUAGGGAUAGUUGGGGGCAUUAGUAUUCAAUUGUCAGAGGUGAAAUUCUUGGAUUUAUUGAAGACUAACUACUGCGAAAGCAUUUGCCAAGGAUGUUUUCAUUAAUCAAGAACGAAAGUUAGGGGAUCGAAGACGAUCAGAUACCGUCGUAGUCUUAACCAUAAACUAUGCCGACUAGGGAUCGGAUGAUGUUAAUUUUUAAUGACUCAUUCGGCGCCUUAUAC
rnacentral:rRNA from 1 species